AAUUAUGCAGCGCAGCGGCGUUACUUUAGCAUUUCGUCAAAACGAAUUUACCCUUUAAAGUGGUCAACCGUUCGCAAGAGAGGACCGAAUUAGUUUAUUUAAAUAAACUUUAAAGUUUCAGAUAUGUUACCCCCCGAUCCCCCCUUUAUCAGUGUAUUUGUCAAUUUUUGAAGGUAAUAAAAACGGGUCAAAUUUGCGACGCAGUCUGCUACUCUUCUAUGCUUUUGUGAUGUUUCUUUUGUGUUUGUCAUUAGUGUUUGUAGACAAUUUUGGAUAUUCUUUUUUUCGCUCAUUUGUAUGUUAUCAUUUUCUAUAGGCGCUUCUUGUAACUGCGAAUUUUCACGCAUGUACAUCUUUGAUCUUUGGUGCACAGAAGAGGGCAAAAAUGCCGAUAAAACUCGAAGAGUGACUAAUUUGGUAGAAGAGAGCAUUAAGAGCAAGGGAUACGCAGUUGACAUGAUAACACUUAAGAACUGCAUUAGUUACAUUUGCAAAAAAAUUAUUGCCUUUUGGACUAAAUACAAGCGUAUUAAGAGUUUAAUUGUUCAAUAUCAAUAUCAUUAUAAUUGAGCCUCCUCAUCGAAGGGUUUCAAGUGCUGAACGUGGACGACCCAAAAUUGAUUUAGCCGAGUCCUCAAAAAGGACAAAACGUCGUCGGCUAGCCCUACUAGAAACACAUUAUGAGUGUGCAGCUUCUGUUUUGCGCUCCUCCGAUUUUCCACCGAUCCUAAAGUCAUCCGAACCAAAUAUUGAAAAGGUUUUAUCGCUUUUAAUGGAAACUGGAAUCACGAAACACCAAUACUUGCUCAUUCGUGAAUUCAUUAAUAGUGAAGCCCCAUGCAAUAUAUUGCCAAGUUAUGAGAAAAUUCUCAAAUUUAAGAAUUCAUGAUAUCCGAAAGACAUAACAGUAGCUGAAACAUAUGCAGAAGUCGAGCUGCAGAGUCUACUAGACAACACAGCUUUAAGUAUUUUACAGCUCCAAAAACUCUAAUUGAAAAUUGUCUUGAUGGCACAGAGGACACAUUAAAAUUUAUUGGAAAAUGGGGAUUUAAUGGCAGUACUGGGCACAGUGAAUACAAGCAAAAGUUUUCAAACUGUAAUGACGAUGAUAGAAGUCUAUUUUUAAUAUCGUACGUCCCACUUCAGCUAAUAACUGAAAGUAACUCCAAAAUAAUAUGGAAAAAUCCUAGACCAUCAUCUACACGCAAUUGUAGGCCAAUCAGACUUCAAUUUAAAAAGGAAACAGCCAUACUAUCCGUUGAAGAAGAAGUCUACUUCAAAAAUAAAAUACACAACUUAAUGCCAACCGAAUUUCAAAUUCCCGAUAAAAAAUUAUUAACAAAUUAUGGCCUGCACCUUACUAUGGUGGAUGGUAAAGUGUGCAACGCGUUAAGCAACACCUUAAUGUACAGCAAAGAAAAGAACGAGUCCUCACGGAGUUUCGCAAUAAAAUGGGAAUAAUUGUGGAUAAGCCAAGAGACGGAGGCAGAGGAACUUCCAACGAUGUAAAUACAGCCAGGACAUUUUUUGGUAACCCGAGUGUGUCAUCUGAUAUUACAGGCAUUGAUGAAGAAGUAAUAACUCGAUGCGCAACGAUAUUGUAAGCCUUAGCAUCAGGAUAUUCCAUUAGUGCUACAAAAUUUGAAAGCUAUGCGUUGGAUACUACUAAGAAGUUGAUAAAAAUAUAUCCAUGGUACUAUCUUCCACCAACAGUGCAUAAAAUCUUAAUUCAUGGUGCGAAAGUAAUCGAGCACUUUAGAGCAUAAUCGCUGUCAAUUGGAGAGCUCUCAGAAGAAGCUGCGGAGUCGAACAACAAAGAAAUAAAGAAGUGCCGGCUGCAACAUACUCGGAAGAUGUCUCGCAUACUGACAGAUUUAAUUAAUACACAUUUGUUGCGUUCAGAUCCUUUUAAAACAAGUCAAAGAAAACUA